rnacentral:misc_RNA from 1 species
GAUGAAGAACGUAGCGAAAUGCGAUAAGUAAUGUGAAUUGCAGAAUUCAGUGAAUCAUCGAAUCUUUGAACGCACAUUGCGCCCGUCAGUAUUCUGGCGGGCAUGCCUGUUCGAGCGUCAUUACGCCCCUCAAGUCCCCUGUGGACUUGGUGUUGGGGAUCGGCGAGGCUGGUUUUCCAGCACAGCCGUCCCUUAAAUUAAUUGGCGGUCUCGCCGUGGCCCUCCUCUGCGCAGUAGUAAAACACUCGCAACAGGAGCCCGGCGCGGUCCACUGCCGUAAAACCCCCCAACUUUUUAUAGUUGACCUCGAAUCAGGUAGGACUACCCGCUGAACUUAAGCAAUCAAUAAGCGGAGGA